rnacentral:rRNA from 2 species
GGGACACGUGGUAUCCUGUCUGAAUAUGGGGGGACCAUCCUCCAAGGCUAAAUACUCCUGACUGACCGAUAGUGAACCAGUACCGUGAGGGAAAGGCGAAAAGAACCCCGGCGAGGGGAGUGAAAAAGAACCUGAAACCGUGUACGUACAAGCAGUGGGAGCCUCUUAAUGGGGUGACUGCGUACCUUUUGUAUAAUGGGUCAGCGACUUAUAUUCUGUAGCAAGGUUAACCGAAUAGGGGAGCCGAAGGGAAACCGAGUCUUAACUGGGCGUUAAGUUGCAGGGUAUAGACCCGAAACCCGGUGAUCUAGCCAUGGGCAGGUUGAAGGUUGGGUAACACUAACUGGAGGACCGAACCGACUAAUGUUGAAAAAUUAGCGGAUGACUUGUGGCUGGGGGUGAAAGGCCAAUCAAACCGGGAGAUAGCUGGUUCUCCCCGAAAGCUAUUUAGGUAGCGCCUCGUGAAUUCAUCUCCGGGGGUAGAGCACUGUUUCGGCAAGGGGGUCAUCCCGACUUACCAACCCGAUGCAAACUGCGAAUACCGGAGAAUGUUAUCACGGGAGACACACGGCGGGUGCUAACGUCCGUCGUGAAGAGGGAAACAACCCAGACCGCCAGCUAAGGUCCCAAAGUCAUGGUUAAGUGGGAAACGAUGUGGGAAGGCCCAGACAGCCAGGAUGUUGGCUUAGAAGCAGCCAUCAUUUAAAGAAAGCGUAAUAGCUCACUGGUCGAGUCGGCCUGCGCGGAAGAUGUAACGGGGCUAAACCAUGCACCGAAGCUGCGGCAGCGACACUAUGUGUUGUUGGGUAGGGGAGCGUUCUGUAAGCCUGUGAAGGUGUACUGUGAGGUAUGCUGGAGGUAUCAGAAGUGCGAAUGCUGACAUAAGUAACGAUAAAGCGGGUGAAAAGCCCGCUCGCCGGAAGACCAAGGGUUCCUGUCCAACGUUAAUCGGGGCAGGGUGAGUCGACCCCUAAGGCGAGGCCGAAAGGCGUAGUCGAUGGGAAACAGGUUAAUAUUCCUGUACUUGGUGUUACUGCGAAGGGGGGACGGAGAAGGCUAUGUUGGCCGGGCGACGGUUGUCCCGGUUUAAGCGUGUAGGCUGGUUUUCCAGGCAAAUCCGGAAAAUCAAGGCUGAGGCGUGAUGACGAGGCACUACGGUGCUGAAGCGACAAAUGCCCUGCUUCCAGGAAAAGCCUCUAAGCAUCAGGUAACAUCAAAUCGUACCCCAAACCGACACAGGUGGUCAGGUAGAGAAUACCAAGGCGCUUGAGAGAACUCGGGUGAAGGAACUAGGCAAAAUGGUGCCGUAACUUCGGGAGAAGGCACGCUGAUAUGUAGGUGAAGCGACUUGCUCGUGGAGCUGAAAUCAGUCGAAGAUACCAGCUGGCUGCAACUGUUUAUUAAAAACACAGCACUGUGCAAACACGAAAGUGGACGUAUACGGUGUGACGCCUGCCCGGUGCCGGAAGGUUAAUUGAUGGGGUUAGCGGUAACGCGAAGCUCUUGAUCGAAGCCCCGGUAAACGGCGGCCGUAACUAUAACGGUCCUAAGGUAGCGAAAUUCCUUGUCGGGUAAGUUCCGACCUGCACGAAUGGCGUAAUGAUGGCCAGGCUGUCUCCACCCGAGACUCAGUGAAAUUGAACUCGCUGUGAAGAUGCAGUGUACCCGCGGCAAGACGGAAAGACCCCGUGAACCUUUACUAUAGCUUGACACUGAACAUUGAGCCUUGAUGUGUAGGAUAGGUGGGAGGCUUUGAAGUGUGGACGCCAGUCUGCAUGGAGCCGACCUUGAAAUACCACCCUUUAAUGUUUGAUGUUCUAACGUGGGCCCCUUACCGGGGUUGCGGACAGUGUCUGGUGGGUAGUUUGACUGGGGCGGUCUCCUCCUAAAGAGUAACGGAGGAGCACGAAGGUUGGCUAAUCCUGGUCGGACAUCAGGAGGUUAGUGCAAUGGCAUAAGCCAGCUUGACUGCGAGCGUGACGGCGCGAGCAGGUGCGAAAGCAGGUCAUAGUGAUCCGGUGGUUCUGAAUGGAAGGGCCAUCGCUCAACGGAUAAAAGGUACUCCGGGGAUAACAGGCUGAUACCGCCCAAGAGUUCAUAUCGACGGCGGUGUUUGGCACCUCGAUGUCGGCUCAUCACAUCCUGGGGCUGAAGUAGGUCCCAAGGGUAUGGCUGUUCGCCAUUUAAAGUGGUACGCGAGCUGGGUUUAGAACGUCGUGAGACAGUUCGGUCCCUAUCUGCCGUGGGCGCUGGAGAACUGAGGGGGGCUGCUCCUAGUACGAGAGGACCGGAGUGGACGCAUCACUGGUGUUCGGGUUGUCAUGCCAAUGGCACUGCCCGGUAGCUAAAUGCGGAAGAGAUAAGUGCUGAAAGCAUCUAAGCACGAAACUUGCCCCGAGAUGAGUUCUCCCUGACUCCUUGAGAGUCCUGAAGGAACGUUGAAGACGACGACGUUGAUAGGCCGGGUGUGUAAGCGCAGCGAUGCGUUGAGCUAACCGGUACUAAUGAACCGUGAGGCUUAACCUU